rnacentral:rRNA from 1 species
UACGAAGGGGGCUAGCGUUGCUCGGAAUCACUGGGCGUAAAGGGUGCGUAGGCGGGUCUUUAAGUCAGGGGUGAAAUCCUGGAGCUCAACUCCAGAACUGCCUUUUUGAUACUGAAGAUCUUGAGUUCGGGGAGAGGUGAGUGGAACUGCGAGUGUAGAGGGUGAAAAUUCGUAGAUAUUCGCGAAAGGAAACACCCAGUGGGCGAAACGGGCGGCUC